UACAGAGGGUGCGAGCGUUGUCCGGAAUCACUGGGCGUAAAGGGCGCGUAGGUGGCGACCCAAGUCGAUGGUGAAAGCUCGCCGCUCAACGGCGAGUCGGCCACCGAUACUGGGUUGCUGGAGCACUGUAGAGGCAGAUGGAAUUCCGGGUGUAGCGGUGGAAUGCGUAGAGAUCCGGAAGAACGACCGGUGGCGAAGGCGGUCUGCUGGGCAGUUGCUGACGCUGAUGGCGCGACAGCGUGGGGAGCAAACAGG
rnacentral:rRNA from 1 species